GACGAACGCUGGCGGCGUGCUUAACACAUGCAAGUCGAACGGAAAGGCCCUGCUUUUGUGGGGUGCUCGAGUGGCGAACGGGUGAGUAACACGUGAGUAACCUGCCCUUGACUUUGGGAUAACUUCAGGAAACUGGGGCUAAUACCGGAUAGGAUCUCCUGCUGCAUGGUGGGGGUUGGAAAGUUUCGGCGGUUGGGGAUGGACUCGCGGCUUAUCAGCUUGUUGGUGGGGUAGUGGCUUACCAAGGCUUUGACGGGUAGCCGGCCUGAGAGGGUGACCGGCCACAUUGGGCCUGCGAUACGGCCCAGACUCCUACGGGAGGCAGCAGUGGGGAAUAUUGCACAAUGGGCGGAAGCCUGAUGCAGCAACGCCGCGUGCGGGAUGACGGCCUUCGGGUUGUAAACCGCUUUCGCCUGUGACGAAGCGUGAGUGACGGUAAUGGGUAAAGAAGCACCGGCUAACUACGUG
rnacentral:rRNA from 1 species